AGCAGCCGCGGUAAUUCCAGCUCCAAUAGCGUAUAUUAAAGUUGUUGCAGUUAAAAAGCUCGUAGUUGAAUUUCGGGGUCAGCAGGUUGGUCGUGCCUCUGGUAUGUACUGGCCUUGCUGAUUCCUCCCUCUUGAUGAGCCGUAAUGCCAUUAAUUUGGUGUUGCGGGGAAUCAGGACUGUUACUUUGAAAAAAUUAGAGUGUUUAAAGCAGGCAAGCGCUUGAAUACAUUAGCAUGGAAUAAUGAAAUAGGACGUUCGAUCCUAUUUUGUUGGUUUCUAGGAUUGACGUAAUGAUUAAUAGGGAUAGUUGGGGGCAUUAGUAUUCAAUUGUCAGAGGUGAAAUUCUUGGAUUUAUUGAAGACUAACUACUGCGAAAGCAUUUGCCAAGGGUGUUUUCAUUAAUCAAGAACGAAAGUUAGGGGAUCGAAGACGAUCAGAUACCGUCGUAGUCUUAACCAUAAACUAUGCCGACUAGAGAUCGGAUGAUGUUAAUUUUUUAAUGACUCU
rnacentral:rRNA from 1 species